CCCAGGCAUCCAGCAGGAACGUGGCAGGGUUCCUGCAGGGAGCAGCAGUGCUGGGGGUUUGUGAGGGGAUUGUGUUGUGGGAAGGCUGGGGCUGAAGGUGUGGACUGUCUCCUGUAUUUCAGUUCAUUGUGCUUAAGAAUUAAUUAAAUUGUUAGGUGGAAUCCUCUCCUUAAAAUAUCAGGUGGAAUCUUCUCCUUAAAUUUGGUGGUAUCCUCUCCUUUAAUUAUUAGGUGGAAUCCUCUCAUUAAAUUAUCAAGUGAAAUCUUCUUAAAACAUUGUGUGGAAUCCUCUCCUUAAAUUGUCAAGUGGAAUCCUCUGCUGAAAUUAGGUGGAAUCCUCUGCUUAAAUUAAGUGGCAUCCUCUCCUUAAAUUAACUGGAAUCCUCUUGUUACAUUAUCGGGUGGAAUCCUCUCCUUAAAUUAUUAAGUGGAAUCCUCUCCUUAAAUUAUCAGGUGAAAUCUUCUUAAAACAUUGUGUGGAAUCUUCUCCCUAAAUUGUCAAGUGGAAUCCCCUCCUUAAAUUAAGUGGAAUCCCCUCCUUAAAUUAAGUGGAAUCCCCUCCUUAAAUUAAGUGGAAUCCCCUCCUUAAAUUAAGUGGAAUCCCCUCCUUAAAUUAAGUGGAAUCCCCUCCUUAAAUUAAGUGGAAUCCCCUCCUUAAAUUAAGUGGAAUCCCCUCCUUAAAUUUUCAAGUGGAAUCCUGUCCUUCCAUUAUUGAGUGCAAUCCUGUCCUUCCAUUAUUGAGUGCAAUCCUGUCCUUAAAUUACUACUUGAGUGGAAUUUUCUCUUUAAAAUAUUAGGUGGAAUCCUCUCCUUAAUUUAAGUGGAAUUCUCUCCUACCCUCCCUGUCCCCAGAUCUCAAAUUUCCUUCCUGUUAUCAAAUUUUCUGUGGAGGAAGAAUAAAAGAUAAGGGUCUGUUAAUUAAAGCAGAACCUCGUGUUCUUUGUGUUUGAAAGAGAUUUCAGAGCUUGUUCCCUGCAUUCCUCAAAGGGGAAAAUCAAAUGCUGAUCACUCCAAUUCCAAUUUGGGGAGUUUAUUGGUAGGAAAUCAGUUUAUUGGAGUGGAAAAUGAAAGGGUGAGCGUGGUGGUCCAACAAAAAGCACUUGCAGGAGUGUGGUGGGAUCAGAAAUACUUGGGAAUAAGUGGUGACAGCCACAAAGACCUUCCCCUGCCCCUUCCUGUUCAGGGAAUUCCCUGCACUGCAGUUCUGGGGGGUUUUACAGCAGUUUCCUGGUUUUGUGAUAAAGAGCUGAUGUUUUCUCCCUGUCCCUGCUGCUCCCUGCCCUGACCUCCGAGCAGCUGGGAUUUGUACCUUUUACUUUCUAUGCUAAUUAGUCCAUAUUUUUACUCUUUUUAAUAUCUUUUUCCCUGCUGGGGACUUUCCAACCCUUACUGAGUGGUUCCUACAAAAUGUCCUUGUGGUCCAUCCCACAAAUCCUGCCUUCCAUGUGCCCACCAAUCCAUCUUUGUCUCCCAGACUUUGUUCAAUGAAUCAAAUCCAGGUUUGCUCAACAAAACUUUUCCCAAGCUGUGUUCCCACAAACUGCUCAGGACAGCUUUGUCAUAAAUCCUGGCUAAGAGUGAUUUAAGAAUCACCAGAAUGAGUUUCAGGAGACCAUCCUGGAAAAGCUUCAAUCCCAGGAAUGUUCUUAAUGGGAAUUCAGGAGCCAGAGCUCCCCGGAGGCUCCGCCAGCCUCUGCUGUGAGAUUGGGUCAUCCCUCAGGACUUGUUGCAGCAUUAAAAAACCCCAAAUAAACCCACAACCCCUUCCCCAAACCCCAAAUUCUCUGCAAAACUUCAAUUCCAACCUUGUAGGUUUCAGUGUUUGCAGGCAUUGUGAACGCCUGGGAACAGGAAAAAUCCAUCUCCCGUUUCUUUCCUGGUGUAGUUCCCUGGCAGGAUCUGGAGCUGGGUGCCAGCACAAUUGGCUGCAGCCUGGAGCAUAUGUGCAGAAUCCAAAUAACAGCUUGGCUGCUUUUUAUAUCAAACCUAAUGGGCUCAGAUAUUAUUUUAUUAGAGCUCCUGCAAACAACGGUGUCGCUCCGUUGGCCCCAGCUCCGGGCUGGAAAUAAGGUCAGUGGGAAGCCCACUGGCUGCUCAAGAAUGAAAUGGGGAGUUUUCUGCCAAGGAGAUGAGGAUUGAGUGCAUUCAGAGGGUUGGUGUGUUCUGCUGGAGAUGGUGGCAUGGGGGAAAAUGGGGAUUUUCAGGUUUUGCCUCACCAAGAGCUGGAGCCAGGUGUGCUCAGGGAUGUGCUCCCUGCAGGACUGAGCUCUCUGCUCACAGACAAACCCAAAA